UACGUAGGGGGCAAGCGUUGUCCGGAUUCACUGGGCGUAAAGCGCGCGUAGGUGGCCUCAUAAGUCCGCUGUGAAAGUCCAAGGCUCAACCUUGGAAAGCCGGUGGAUACUGUGAGGCUAGAGUACGGAAGAGGCGAGUGGAAUUCCUGGUGUAGCGGUGGAAUGCGCAGAUAUCAGGAGGAACACCAAUAGCGAAGGCAGCUCGCUGGGACGUUACUGACACUGAGGCGCGAAAGCGUGGGGAGCGAACAGG
rnacentral:rRNA from 1 species